rnacentral:rRNA from 1 species
GAUGAACGCUAGCUACAGGCUUAACACAUGCAAGUCGAGGGGAAACGGCAUCGAAAGCUUGCUUUUGAUGGGCGUCGACCGGCGCACGGGUGAGUAACGCGUAUCCAACCUGCCCAUCACUUGGGAAUAACCUUGCGAAAGUAAGACUAAUGCCCAAUGACAUCCCACGAAGGCAUCCGAAUGGGAUUAAAGAUUUAUCGGUGAUGGAUGGGGAUGCGUCUGAUUAGCUUGUUGGCGGGGUGACGGCCCACCAAGGCAACGAUCAGUAGGGGUUCUGAGAGGAAGGUCCCCCACAUUGGAACUGAGACACGGUCCACACUCCUACGGGAGGCAGCAGUGAGGAAUAUUGGUCAAUGGGCGAGAGCCUGAACCAGCCAAGUAGCGUGCAGGAGGACGGCCCUAUGGGUUGUAAACUGCUUUUAUAAGGGAAUAAAGUGGGUCACGUGUGACUUUUUGCAUGUACCUUAUGAAUAAGGACCGGCUAAUUCCGUG